CGGCGCGGCGCUCCAGGACAGGUCCCACUGGCAGGUGAGAAUGUCGGAGCCCAGCAGCUCGUAGCCAGGCUCGCACUGGUGCAGCCGGCGUCCCUCAGCUGCUUCAAUGACCCAGCGGCAGGAUGAGGAGUCUCUGAAAGAAAGGAUCUCCAGAAUGGUGACUCAUGACAUGGAAACCCUCCAGUGAGAACUGUACAGCGGCCGGCCCCGUGGCCGAGUGGUUGAGUUCGCACACUCUGCUUUGGCGGCCCAGGGUUUCGC